rnacentral:rRNA from 1 species
UACGAAGGGGGCUAGCGUUGCUCGGAAUUACUGGGCGUAAAGCGCACGUAGGCGGAUUGUUAAGUCGGGGUGAAAUCCUGGAGCUCAACUCCAGAACUGCCUUUGAUACUGAGUAGCUUGAGUCCGGGAGAGGUGAGUGGAACUGCGAGUGUAGAGGUGAAAUUCGUAGAUAUUCGCAAGAACACCAGUGGCGAAGGCGGCUCACUGGCCCGGUACUGACGCUGAGGUGCGAAAGCGUGGGGAGCAAACAGGAUUAGAAACC